rnacentral:lncRNA from 1 species
UCAAAUAGCUGCGGGCAUGAGAGACAUCGCAGCUCAGAAUAUGGCGAUGCAUGAACUUUUCAUGCAAGCCAGAAGGUUACUAGGGCUCUCAAAUGCCCUAAGGAUCUUACCCAGUGCAGGAAGUCCCAGUAUCUAGGGAUGUAAACGAGCCGGGCCGAGUCGGCUCGCGAGCCUAAAAUUUCGGCUCGGGCUCGGCCCGGUUAAAAAU